rnacentral:rRNA from 1 species
GAUGAACGCUGGCGGCGUGCUUAACACAUGCAAGUCGAACGAAGCGCUUUUAUUUGAUUUCUUCGGAAUGAAGAUUUUAGUGACUGAGUGGCGGACGGGUGAGUAACGCGUGGGUAACCUGCCUCAUACAGGGGGAUAACAGUUAGAAAUGACUGCUAAUACCGCAUAAGACCACAGUACCGCAUGGUACAGGGGUAAAAACUCCGGUGGUAUGAGAUGGACCCGCGUCUGAUUAGGUAGUUGGUGGGGUAACGGCCUACCAAGCCGACGAUCAGUAGCCGGCCUGAGAGGGUGACCGGCCACAUUGGGACUGAGACACGGCCCAAACUCCUACGGGAGGCAGCAGUGGGGAAUAUUGCACAAUGGGGGAAACCCUGAUGCAGCGACGCCGCGUGAGCGAUGAAGUAUUUCGGUAUGUAAAGCUCUAUCAGCAGGGAAGAAAAUGACGGUACCUGACUAAGAAGCACCGGCUAAAUACGUGCCAGCCGCCGCGGUAA